CGGCAAGAAGUGUGAGCAAGCAAUUGAAAAGUUGCUUCGCACAUUACAGUGUAGGCAGUCGACGUUGAAGGUUUUCACGCGCCACACGUUCGUAGACAGUAGAAGUGUUAUUUUCCAACUUUCAGAUAAAACGCUGAGGAAAAUGAAGAGUUUGGUCUUUCUGGCUUUCUUGGUAUGCCUGGGUUGUGUUUGUGCUACGUAUGAGGAAGAGUUGUUUCAGCGAAACGAGGAUGAUCCCGUUCCAUAUGAAAAAGCUGCAGAAAAAGAUGAUCUCGCCCUGAGGUGGCUCCUAGCUAAGCUCAUCGAUAGAAUGGAUGAAAUGAAAAAGAGAACGAGCUGUGUCUUUUUAAGUUGUCCAGAAGGACAACACUGUUAUGAGCAGAACAAUUCAGGCACUGGCCACUGCGUUCCGAAUAAAGGAUAAGCAGAGAAUGCGACAAUCCGGAAGAUCUUUGGAACCCAUUCCUGGAACUGAACAUGACCAAUGGCAUCUGGAACAAUUUCUGUUGAAUAUUUUAAUGCUUCAGGAACAUGCUAAUAACUGUUGCUUAGAAUUUUAAUGCGUCCAAGAAUUUUGUGACAAUACCUUGAAAAUGACUAAAGUUGCUCUUAGAGGGUGUACGCAAUUAGAUUCUUUCCAUGUAAUCAUUAAAAAUGCAUCGUGCCUGAUUCACUUGCAAUUUUGCCAUUUAAAGGUCAAUUCAUUGCUAUUUCCAUACACAAAUGUCUCCAUUCUUCUUCGGUGUCACUUUUAUUGUCAAGCUUUCGUGUUAGUUUUUGUCAUUUCAUUUUAAUUAUAAAUAUUUUCAAGUUUAGGCUGUUGCAAUGACAUUAAGCGGCUGUUUCAUUGAUAAACUUGCAUAUGAAUACGUCUUUGGAUAAUGAUGUCGUAUUAGUAUAAGAUCAUUCUGCGUAUAAGCUACCUGGUGUGACAUUAUUUCUAAAUAUGCAAAUCUAUGCAAUUGAAAAUUAUUGCACUGACUUAAUCGACUAAAUCCAAGUCCAAUUGGAUCUAAGUUUUCCAAAUGCACAAAAGUUUGUGAGGCCGGUUUUGAAAUGAUUCAUUCGAAACAAAUCCAGCCACUGCUUGCAAGACGGAAAUUUCCAACGCUUGUUGGAGAUCUGACCUUCAGUUGAUGGAUAUUUCUCUGAAGAUCAAAGUGGGGUUCAGUUUUUGGUUGGGGCUCUAAAUGGUUUUCAAACAAAAAUAAUGGAUAAAUGGGUUGACGGUGUUUGACUCUAACUUGCCUCUUUAAAAUGCUGGGUAUAAUGUGGGGGAAUCAGCAUUUCAAGAUCUAACGUCAGAAUUUGUCAAGUUAGAAGACACCGAUGUUCCAGAGCUCAUUACACCGUGCUUUGGCAUAAUACAGCCUAUUCAUUAGACUAUUUUUUUAAUGGAAAAGCUGGGUUCAAAACUGCUCAAUCACGUGUGCCAAAGUUGAAGACGUUUUCAGUAUAUGGACGUUUGUUUUGAUUGUGGGUAUUUUCUGCCUUCUUGAGGGGAAUGAAGUUUAACGUAGAAAAAAAUAGAAAAUAAAACUAUAGAUUCAAGGCUGAAAGAAA
rnacentral:lncRNA from 1 species